AUUGAACGCUGGCGGCAGGCCUAACACAUGCAAGUCGAACGAACCCUUCGGGGUUAGUGGCGGACGGGUGAGUAACACGUGGGAACGUGCCUUUAGGUUCGGAAUAACUCAGGGAAACUUGUGCUAAUACCGAAUGUGCCCUUCGGGGGAAAGAUUUAUCGCCUUUAGAGCGGCCCGCGUCUGAUUAGCUAGUUGGUGAGGUAAUGGCUCACCAAGGCUACGAUCAGUAGCUGGUCUGAGAGGAUGACCAGCCACAUUGGGACUGAGACACGGCCCAACCUCCUACGGGAGGCAGCAGUGGGGAAUCUUGCGCAAUGGGCGAAAGCCUGACGCAGCCAUGCCGCGUGGAUGAUGAAGGUCUUAGGAUUGUAAAAUCCUUUCACCGGUGAAGAUAAUGACUGUAGCCGGAGAAGAAGCCCCGGCUAACUUCGUGCCAGCCGCCGCGGUAACAC
rnacentral:rRNA from 1 species